GACAGAGGAGGCAAGCGUUGUUCGGAUUCAUUGGGCGUAAAGGGUGCGUAGGCGGCGCGGUAAGUCGGGUGUGAAAUCUCGGGGCUUAACUCCGAAACUGCAUUCGAUACUGCCGUGCUUGAGGACUGGAGAGGAGACUGGAAUUUACGGUGUAGCGGUGAAAUGCGUAGAUAUCGUAAGGAAGACCAGUGGCGAAGGCGGGUCUCUGGACAGUUCCUGACGCUGAGGCACGAAGGUCAGGGGAGCAAACGGG
rnacentral:rRNA from 1 species